UUACCGGUAUGUUUUUUGUAUUUGCUUUAUUCUUCAUUAAUUUUAUGUCUCCCCUUCUGACUCACCCUUAAAACAGUUUAUAGCCACUAAAUCCUGCAGUUGAUCAAUAUUCCGCAUGAAUAGUUUAUUUACUGGAGUAUCGUGAGUUUUUUUAAAAGAUAAAGAUCUUUAAUUAGUUCUGAAUUCUGAAAAUAAAGACCUUUAAACGUCGGUAGGAGUAAAUAAAUUAUUGAGUAUUUCAAUUGCAAUUUAAUCGACCUUAUAAUAUCCUUUAAUAUCUCCUGUAUUGCUUUUUUCAUUUGAAUUACGAUGCUAUCAGGGUAAUGUUUAUUUAACUUCUGCGUUAUCUGAUUAAUUGUGGGCGAAGUGUAAGGUUUGUAAAGUUAAUCAACCGGUGUUUACCACAAAUACUUUGCAUUUACCGUUCCAGGGCGAUGAUCCAAGUUGUAAUUAUUGUAUGUUUUAUGUCAUAUCGUAUAUAUUGUAUAGCACUGUAAUAGCAAUCGGUCGCUUACCUUAAAAGCUUAAAAAUCCUGUUUCAGCCAUAACUUUGCCAUAGAUGAAUUCUAAAAAAAUAGGCACACAGUAACAUGUAAACCAUCAUAAGCCGACGUGUUGAGUGUAAGACCCGUGCCCAUACCUCAAAGGUCAAGUCUCACUCUUAAAAGUCAAAAUUGUCCAUAAAACAGCGUGAAUAAUGUUUUUUCCAGCCGAAAUAUUGCUAUAUCUUAAUUUGUUUAAAAAUAACUUGACUUAAAUGCAAACCAUCAUAAGACUUGUCGUGUGUUACACUCUUCUCCCUGCCACAAAGGUCAAGGCCUGUUUUAGAGGUCAAAAGUAUUUUUUUUCUCCAUAAAACGUCUUGAAACUUCCUGUCUUAGCAUUCACUCUGCCGUAAAAUGAACGAUUUAAACAUAACCUGUCAAACAUGUUAACCAUUAUAUGACGUAGUGUCGCGUAUAACGCCUGUCAUCCUCCCUAAAAGGUCAAGGUCAUACUUACCGGUCAUAUGUACUAUUCUGCCAUUUAACAGCUUGUCCGUACUGAGACUUUGUCAUUCAUCAUGCAGUUUUAAAAUAACUUUUAAAUGACAAAUGACCACCAUCAGGAAACGGCGUGUAGCGUGUAUCACCUGUCUCCCUACCUCAAAGGUCAAGGUCACACUUAGUGGUCAAAAGUCAAAUUUUGCCUAAAAACAGCUUGUUUUGACUUUGUGGAGUUUUUGAGACAAAAGUGGAAUGGUCUAUGAUCUCAUAAUAUAGAAUGAUUUAUAUACACGCGUUCUAUGGUCUACUCUAGAAUGAUUUAUAUACAUACGUCGGUGGUCUUUUCUGUAAAGUGUUUUUCUGGACACAAAUGAGUGAUAUCCGUCUAUAGUUGAAGUAAAUGAUUUAUGAAAAGAUAUAUUUACACAAUGACAUACUUUAUUUCAACUUGUGUUUUUUGGUCUGUUAAAUUCCCCCAACGUAAACAGCAUCACAUAAGUAAUUUUAAAAUAAAUAAUUACUUUUUACGUGCGUAUUGUUGACUAUGAAAAUCUUGGCAAUGUAAUUCCUUUUUCGAAGAUGCAUAGAGACGGGAAAGCAUAGAGACGGGAAGUAACAUUAGUAUGGCUUAUUUCGAAGUCACGCGAAACAAUUAGAUAUCUUAACACAUGCAAUUAUCGAUUAAAUCGAUUGCACGUUUUUAUACCGUCAAUAUUGUUACUUUCAGACAGGAAGAGAGUCCGAACAAUCAAACAUCAGAUAAGCAAGACCAGCGCUAUAGAUAACUUUUGGGGGUAUAUUGGAUCGUCAUGGCGGCUUCCCGUGUGACGUAUGCGGUCACGUGUUCCGUCAGAAGGGCAACCUGAAUCAGCACAUGGCCACUCACAGCGGGGACAAGCCCUUCCGGUGCGACACGUGCGGCAAGAGUUUCGCCAGGCGCACCUCGCUGAAAUCUCACAAGCUCGUUCAUCUACAAAUGAUUGUCGGCGAUUAUAUGCAGCACACAGUACCUUAGGAAUUAUGUAAUUGAGCCGCGCUCUGUGAACAGGGGGUUUAAUGCAUGUGCGUUAAGUUUCGUCCCAGAUUAGCCGGUGCAGUCCGAACAGGCUAAGCAGGGACGACACUUUCGGCUUAAUAGGAUUUUUGUUGAGAAGUGACUUUCUUUACCGAAAAAUAUAAAAGCGGAAAGUUUCGUCCCUUAUCAGCCUGUGCGGACUGCACAGGCUUAUCUGGGACGACACUUUACGCACACGCAUUUAACCCCCUUUUCACAGAACGAGGCUUAAUUUGAUUUGUUAAAUUCAAGACAAUCUUCAAUUUUGAUUCUUUAAAAGGCGUGACCUUCAGGAAGCACAGUAGAAAGUUAAGUAAUAGAAACGUAAAUGAUACAGUUUUGUGUUAAAGAUUCAUUGAUAGUUUGUAUUGAACGGUUUAUUUCCAUGUAUUGAAAAUAUUUUAAUAUACAACAUGUAUGAACAAAUCCAUCGUUUUCCCACUUGUGUUACUAUUGGCUACGAAAGGUAUUUUUGUUUCCAUUAAAACAUAUGUUAGCAUGCUCGUUAAUAUUAUAUCGUGACAAAUAGUCGUGUUUAUUUGGUUUUGUAGAUGUUUAUGCCCCGGUAGGUUGGCAUAUUGCAGUUGAACUGUCAGUCCGUCUGUCUGUCCGUCUGUCCGUCCGAAAACGUUACCGUUGGCCCUAACUUUUGCAAUAUUGAAGAUAGCAACUAGAUAUUUGGCAUGCAUGUGUAGCUCAUGGAGCUGCACAUUUGAGUGGUGAAAGGUCUAGGUCAUCCUUGUUGAUUCCUUCAAGUCAAACGUACAAAAAUGCAAUCCAAGGGAAGUAAUAAGCUUUGAAAGGGAGAUAAUUUCUAAACCUGCCAAAUGAUAUAUUGAAAUUUUAUUUCAAAGCGGCGCAAUAGGGGGCAUUGUGUUUCUGACAAACACAUCUCUUAUUAGAUUUGUUGUUCCAGUAGUUUUUCAGGGGUUGUAGAUAUUUUGCUGAGCUUUGUCAUCGAUCUUGUGUAAUAGCUGUCGGAUAGACGUGUAAUAUCGCGAAUUGUUGAUAUAUAGUUUAUGUGUGUGUGUGUGUGUUUCUUUUGUAAAGAAUGUCUGCAAUUUAAAUCCUUUUCUGUAAGGUAUAAAUGCAUUUUAAGUUUCACAGUUUGUGGUUGUAAGUUAUUUCUCUAAAAAUGGAACUUUAAAAGGAUAUGUUGUAGAACUUAUUAAAACUGUUGGCCUUUUAUUUUUCUUCCUAUCAAUUUUUGGGAUAUAUUCGUCUUAUUUGAUAAGAAUUUGUUUACGAUGUGAUACAUUUAAACAAAUAUGGUUACGGCCUGCUCUCGAAGCAAUGUUCAGCCUAUGUGAGUUUUAAAACCGUUAAAUAGGCAUAAUUAUAACAACAUCAAAGCGUUAGUAUUAAACAAAAAUGUCCCAAAUAAUUUUUUUUACCGUCAUUUUUAAAAUUAUAAUGUUGUAUGCUUCAGCAUUAUUAUUUUAUGAUUAUGAUUUUGGUUGCUAUUUUUGUAUUUAUAAUUUGCUGAAUUUUUCGUUGCAAAUUAUAUGUCUGGUAACGGCCAGUAUUUUCACGCUGAUUUUUGUUUUAUACAGUUUUAUUUUGCCGUAUGUUUGUAACUUGUGUUUAUAGAUUAUUUUCAAGGUUUGGCAACCUUGAGUGACAAAGAACACAUGUUUUCUUGCACUUAAUUGUUUUUUUAUUUACAUCCUGCAUAUACUGUAAACGGGUUCAUGUUACAGUUUAAUGCACAUUUGCGGACGGAAAUGAUACACUGUUAUUGCGCUUGCACUGCACUUUUAAAGCCCCAUUUCUACAAAAAAUCAACGAAAAUUUCGUACAGUAUUUCGCAAAAAAUAAAGUUAAACAAUUCAACAUCAGUAUUCCUUAUAGCAAUUGCCGAAAUUUUAACGCCCGAUAUGGUCUGGUAACACAGAUUUUUGUAGAUACAAAAUGCUCGUUUUUAUUUUUUUGUGACACAAUGAAUUCCAUUUUUAUUUUACCGCAAAUACAUGUAUAUAUAUUCAUACGACACACGACCACUAAAUUGGUACCAUGUUAGUGUUCAUGUGUCGUAUGAAUAGAUAUCGUACAAUGGAAUUAAUUAUGCAACAACAAAAAAAACGAGCAUUUUGAUUCUACAAACAUCUUUGUUACCAGACCACAUCUGGCGUUGAAAAUUUGGCGAUUGCUAUAAGGAACACUGAUUUUUAAUAUUUUUACUUUAUUUUGCAAAAUACUGUUCAAAAUCUUCGUUCAUUUUGAGUAGUAAUCCGGCUUUAAGCAAUUUCUAUUAUUUAUGUAGAGCCUAUAAUAUCGCAUGUCGUAUAUAUCUGACAUGUUUCAUUUUUUGAAUCCAUGCAUGCAGCUUGCAAGCACUUUGGUGUAAUUUAAUGCCAUAAAACACAUCAAAGUAAGCAUUUUAGAAGGACGUUAUUCACAUUAACUUGAGCGUCUUGUACAAACUGUUUUAUUAUAUCGGUGUCAUUUGAAAAUGUUUGUAUUUUGCUUUUAUUAUAUUGCGGUGUAUCUUUAAUAUGCAUUCAUGCACACCUCAAAGUCAUAAGAACCUCAAUUAAUGUUACGUUUACAUACCAGAAUGUAAAUAACUACAUUUUCUUCACUUAUAAUUAUGUUAUUUGCAGUUUAUAAUGCUUACUUGAGCAACAUAAACUUGUGGUCUUACUAAACUAUGUUCAAAGCAACAAACGUAAUUUACAAGUAACACCACUUUAGUCUUACCCGUGUAUUUUAAAUGCAUGUAUGCUUUUAUUGUCGGUAAGAAAGAUGACUGACUAUGAAAAACAUGGAAUGUGAAAAAAUAAAGAGAUAUGUGUCAGUAUUCUACGAAUAAAAAUGUAUUUUAUUUCAGGGACAACCCGGAAUAUUGUGAUGUAUAUUUUAGUGUUACUAUGUAAAACCUCUCGUGUUACUAUGUAAAACCUCUCCAGUUUACCUCGCAAAUGAUGCUUUAAUCCCUAACUUGUAUCUUGCUUACUCAGGUCAAAGUAGACAGUUAUGUGAAAUUUGUGAAUGUAAUGUUUGACUUAUAUGUGUUCAAUAAAUGCAUAUAAAUGCAUCUAUUUGUAUGUUAAUAUGCAAAUUCUGUAUCGUGUUCUCUUCAUCCACGAUACUAUAACGAUAGCAUUGAAUUUGGCGUAAAACCAUAUUAUUGUAUAUGUUUCCUGAUAUUCCAAAAUAAAGAACGACUCUAAAACA